GUUUAGGUUAGCGUUUUGAUUCGUUGCUCUGUUUAAAGUCCAUUCUUGAAUAUGGCUAUUAGUUUGGCCCAGAGAGGGUGAAAGGCCCGUGUAGAUGGAGCGACGUUUCCCUGCGUUAACUAUGGAGUCGGGUUGUUUGAGAAUGCAGCCCAAAGUUGGUGGUAAACUCCAUCUAAGGCUAAAUACUGGCACGAGUCCGAUAGCGAACAAGUACCGUGAGGGAAAGUUGAAAAGUACUCUGAAGAGAGAGUUAACAGUGCGUGAAACCGCUUAGAAGCAAACGGGUGUAGUCAAGCUGCAAGCCUCUAGAAAUAGGCGGGCCAGAAUGGCGUGAGUCUGAGCACAUAGAACUUACAGAUAAAUCCGGCUUUUUGUCGGAGUUGGCUCGCAAGGGCUGACCUUAUCUGUUGGGUGUUCUACUGGCCCUCUCAAUUUCUUUUGGCGUAUGUCACGAUCGUCUUUGCUGUCGGUCUGCUCCAUUUAAACCGUUUCGUGAGUAGCUACGUGUUACUUGCGUUUCGGAGGCAGGUAGCUGAUCUGAUUUCGGUUGGAUUAGUGUUACAGCUGAGUGGAGUGGUAUCUGUAACUGUGCAGUAAGAUGUGGCUGGCGGUGCAUUGUUGCUGGGCGCGCUAAGGCAUGUGGGCGUGGUUGGCGUAUGGCUGCUUGUUGCUGUUUUUAACAGCCUGGUGGUUGCCCGACCUCGGUUUUAUGUGCGGCUGCGUCUGGUCAAUCUUUGCGUUGUGCCUACAGUCAGUGGCGUAGUGGUAGACGAUCCACCCGACCCGUCUUGAAACACGGACCAAGGAGUUUAACAUGUACGCGAGUCAAUGAGUAUGUACGAAACUCAUAGGCGUAGUGAAAGUGAAUGGUGGCUUUUCGCCUCCUGAGGUGAGAUCCUGCUGUUUCUCCGGUUUUGUUGAUCAGACUAUUGAGCAGUAGGCGCAUCACCGGCCCGUCCCAUGAUGUAGUGCGGUUACU
rnacentral:rRNA from 1 species